UCGAGGAAGUCAGAAGCAGCUGACAGCUCCUGGCCUGGCUAGACCAAGUGAACAGGCAGUGCUUCCCCAGGAUCAGAGGCAUUGUAGAGCAUUCUGCACUUCAAUGCCUGCUGUGGCACUGCACCAGGGGGCUGUCAGUCCAAAAUACCUUCUUUAGGUCCCUGAAUGCCUGGGUGACAAAGAGAUAGCUGGAUGAAUCUAUU
rnacentral:lncRNA from 1 species